rnacentral:rRNA from 1 species
GACGAACGCUGGCGGCGUGCCUAAUACAUGCAAGUCGAACGCAGUGGGGACGGGUGAGUAACACGUGGGUAAGCUCCCAUCCGAGGGGAUAACACUUGGAAACAGGUGCUAAACCGAUACUGAUGGAUGGACCCGCGGUGCAUGAGCGAGUUGGUGAGGGAACGGCUAACCAAGGCCACGAGGCAUAGCCGACCUGAGAGUGGGAUCGGCCACACGGGGACUGAGACAGGGCCCAGACUCCUACGGUGGGCAGCAGGAGGGAAUCUUCGGCAAUGGACGAAAGUCUGACCGAGCAACGCCGCGUGAGUGAAGAAGGUUUUCGGAUCGUAAAACUCUGUUGUUAGAGAAGCGGUAUCUAACCAGAAAGCCACGGCUAACUACGUGCCAGCCGCCGCGGUAAUC